UCCAUUUUUAACUCUUUUUUUUUUCUCUUAACACCCAUAGAAGUUAGUACUUGAUUAAGUACUAUGUCACUGCUCCAUUUCCCGAUUUUGAGAGAUUGAGGACAAUCAUAGCUUCUGAGUUGCAAAGAACGACAACAGAAAUCCCUUAAUCCGUCUGCCUCACAAACGGAGGAGAACAUCGAGGAGAUUGACUCAGAUCGGUGACGGCCGAGUCCGAGGCAGCGUCUCCACGGCCGGUCUUCCAGGGCUGUGCUGCUUCUGCUGUCCGUGUUGCCAUUUCAGAAGUAAGCAUUUCAGAGUGUGGGGGAAUAUUCCGUGGAAUGCUUCCUUUGCGGGGACAUAAUAAGGGAACAUUUUCUUUGGAGGGGAUGCUUGGGGGAGAGCAGAUAAGGGAAGUAACUGAAAAAUACAGUCUGUGAGAGUAAUAAAGGCCAUAGAUUUCAGAAAAUAAAGCAGAAUGUAUGGUUUAAUAUACUUUGAAGUUCAAGUACAAGCUCCUUUGAAGCAAUUCUCUAUCCUACAUCUUCAAGAAAAAGUUCAGAAGAGCUAUGUUGAAAAGAACUUGCAUUCCGGGUGGCCGGACUGGGCGUCUGUGGAAGGCCUGGUUUCCUUUAUCCGACUGCGGCCCUGGGCAGCACGGGGCUCCGUGUGCCCUCCUGCCCCACGCACGGCCUUCCGCCUCCCACUAUCACACACGCGUAGAAACUCUGAACAGAACGGAUCCUGUCUGAACCUCUGUUUCCAACCACAGCUGUGAACAGACUCAGCUCGUGCUCACACCAGCCUUUUGUGUCGCCCUACAUGAGGCGUGUAGGGGACUAUUAGCCACUCUGCGGUUUCCCCUGCAAAAGACAGAAUUUCCCUUGUGCAUUUCGAUAUACUUUUGGAGACUUUGGUCCCUCCCCCAGGUAGACAAUGGGUUGGGGAAAGAAAGAGUUAUUGCUGUAAAAGCCAUUGACUCUUCUACAAGAAAAUGUCACAGAUUUACCAUAUAAUGCCACAGAGCUGCUGCAAAAAAUUCUAG
rnacentral:lncRNA from 12 species